UAAAAUGCGACGAACAGAGCGAAGUAGGCGCGUUCUUCUUGUUUCAGAAAGCUGGUGGUUGCUGUGAACCAGUACAGAGGAUGAGGCUGAAUUACACUCUUGGAGCUUUCUUUUUUAUAGGUAGAUCUUGUAAAAAAGAACGGUGAUAAACCGUUAUGAAUGCGAAGUGGAAGAACAGUGUUCUUCAACAAGGGUGGUACCGCGUGCAUCACGUCCCUUUU
rnacentral:ncRNA from 1 species